rnacentral:rRNA from 1 species
GACGAACGCUGGCGGCGUGCUUAACACAUGCAAGUCGAACGGUGAACCUCUUCGGAGGGGGUCAGUGGCGAACGGGUGAGUAACACGUGGGCAACCUGCCCCCGGCUCUGGGAUAACUCCAAGAAAUUGGGGCUAAUACCGGAUGUUCACCGCUUCCCGCAUGGGUGGUGGUGGAAAGGGUUUCCGGCUGGGGAUGGGCCCGCGGCCUAUCAGCCUGUUGGUGGGGUAGUGGCCUACCAAGGCGACGACGGGUAGCCGGCCUGAGAGGGUGACCGGCCACACUGGGACUGAGACACGGCCCAGACUCCUACGGGAGGCAGCAGUGGGGAAUAUUGCGCAAUGGGCGGAAGCCUGACGCAGCGACGCCGCGUGGGGGAUGACGGCCUUCGGGUUGUAAACCUCUUUCAGCAGGGACGAAGCGCAAGUGACGGUACCUGCAGAAGAAGCACCGGCCAACUACGUG